rnacentral:lncRNA from 1 species
CCUCGCAAUUUGAAUUUGACUAUAUUUUUCUGCUUGAAAUUUUUCCAGCAGAUUGCUCCAUUAUUUAGGAUAAGAAUGUAUUCUGACACGUUCUUGCUAUUAUUAUGUCCAACUGAAAACUGAAAUCAUACUCCACAAGUUUUAAGUCAGAUUCUCCACAAUCGAGUCACCGAUCCUUAGUAUUUUUUAAAUACUUAAGGAUGACAUUCCAGUGAUUCUCAUCCAGAUCUUGCAAGUAUCAACUCACUAUCAUAGUGAGUAUACCAUAUCUGAUCUCAUAUAUGGUAUACAUGAUAGAAUAAAUUCUACUCAUAAACAUCCUAUGUAUGUUGGAUUGAGAAAAUCCGAGCAGCCUCUUAGAUCUAUCUCUAUAGAUCUUCAUCCCUAAGAUGAAGGAUGCUUUUUCCAAGUCCUUUAUCGAGAACAAUAAUACUAGCAAAAUCUUUAUUCCCUGUAAUAUAAAAAAU